rnacentral:rRNA from 1 species
UACGGAGGGAGCAAGCGGUGUUCGGAAUUACUGGGCGGAAAGGGCUCGUAGGCGGCCAGCUAAGUCGGACGUGAAAUCCCUCGGCUCAACCGGGGAACUGCGUCCGAUACUGGAUGGCUUGAGUUCGGGAGAGGGAUGCGGAAUUCCAGGUGUAGCGGUGAAAUGCGUAGAUAUCUGGAGGAACACCGGUGGCGAAGGCGGCAUCCUGGACCGAUACUGACGCUGAGGAGCGAAAGCCAGGGGAGCAAACGGG